rnacentral:rRNA from 1 species
UACGUAGGGGGGCAAGCGUUGUCCGGAAUUAUUGGGCGUAAAGCGCGUGUAGGCGGCUCGGUAAGUCUGCUGUGAAAGUCCAGGGCUCAACCCUGGAAUGCCGGUGGAUACUGUCGAGCUCGAGUCCGGAAGAGGCGAGUGGAAUUCCUGGUGUAGCGGUGAAAUGCGCAGAUAUCAGGAGGAACACCGAUGGCGAAGGCAGCUCGCUGGGACGGUACUGACGCUGAGACGCGAAAGCGUGGGGAGCAAACAGG